rnacentral:lncRNA from 1 species
UUCGAUGUGUUUUCAUAGCUUGAUAGCUCAUUUCAUUUUAGCACUGAAUAAUAUUUUAUUGUCUGGAUGUACCACAGUUUACUUUGUUGCUUCCAAGUUUGGACAACUAUGAAUAAAGCUGCUAUAAACAUCCAUGUGCAGGUUUUCAUGUAGACAUAAGUUUUCAAUAUCUUUGGGUAAAUGCCGAGGAAUGUGAUUGCUGGAUUGUAUGAUAAGAGUAUGCUUAGUUUUGGGAGAAACUGCCCAGCUGUCUUUCAAAGUGGCUGUUCCAUUUUACAUUCCCACGAGCAAUGAAUGAGAGCUCCUGUUGCUCCACAUCUUCAAUAUUUGGUAUUGUCAGUGUUCUGGAUUUGGGUCAUUCUAAUAGGGUGGGCCCUAAUCCAAUCUGUCAUUAUAAGAAGAGGAAAUUUGGACACAAAAAGAGACACCAGGGGCGUAUGUACACAGAGAAAAGAUCACGUGAGGACACAGAGAGGUCUGCAAACCAAGAAGAGAAGCCUCAGAAGAAACAAAACCAGCCAACCCCUUGAUCUUGGACUUGUAGCUUCCAGAAUUGUGAGGAAAUAAAUUUCUGUUUUAAAGCCACUCCAUUUUUGUUAUUUUGUUAUGGCAGCCCUAGCACACUAAUAGUGUUUUACCACAGGAGUCUCCAACUUAAAAUUUUUCAAAACCUUUUUCAACUUUUAAAAUCAGUCCCUUCAUCUUCC